GAUGAACGCUGGCGGCGUGCCUAAUACAUGCAAGUCGAGCGAACGGACGAGAAGCUUGCUUUUCUGAUGUUAGCGGCGGACGGGUGAGUAACACGUGGAUAACCUACCUAUAAGACUGGGAUAACUUCGGGAAACCGGAGCUAAUACCGGAUAAUAUUUUGAACCGCAUGGUUCAAAAGUGAAAGACGGUCUUGCUGUCACUUAUAGAUGGAUCCGCGCUGCAUUAGCUAGUUGGUAAGGUAACGGCUUACCAAGGCAACGAUGCAUAGCCGACCUGAGAGGGUGAUCGACCACACUGGAACUGAGACACGGUCCAGACUCCUACGGGAGGCAGCAGUAGAGAAUCUUCCGCAAUGGGCGAAAGCCUGACGGAGCAACGCCGCGUGAGUGAUGAAGGUCUUCGGAUCGUAAAACUCUGUUAUUAGGGAAGAACAUAUGUGUAAGUAACUGUGCACAUCUUGACGGUACCUAAUCAGAAAGCCACGGCUAACUACGUG
rnacentral:rRNA from 1 species